rnacentral:rRNA from 1 species
GACGAACGCUGGCGGCGUGCUUAACACAUGCAAGUCGUACGGUAAGGCCCUUUCGGGGGUCCACGAGUGGCGAACGGGUGAGUAACACAUGAGUAACCAGCCCACAACUUUGGGAUAACGCUAGGAAACUGGUGCUAAUACUGGAUAUGUGCCCCUGCUGCAUGGUGGGGGUUGGAAAGCUCCGGCGGUGGUGGAUGGAUUCGCGGCCUAUCAGCUUGUUGGUGGGGUAGUGGCCUACCAAGGCGGCGACGGGUAGCUGGCCUGGGAGGGUGACCGGCCACAUUGGGACUGAGAUACGGCCCAGAUUCCGACGGGAGGCAGCAGUGGGGAAUAUUGCACAAUGGGCGCAAGCCUGAUGCAGCAACGCCGCGGGCGGGAUGACGGCCUUCGGGUUGUAAACCGCUUUCAGCAGGGACGAAGCUUUUUGUGACGGUACCUGCAGAAGAAGCACCGGCUAACUACGUG